rnacentral:tRNA from 1 species
UCCCUGAUAGCUCAGUUGGUAAAGAAUCCGCCUGCAAUGCAGGAGACCUAGGUUCGAUUCCUGGGUUGGGAA